ACCGAAAUAGCUCAGUUGGGAGAGCCUUAGACUGAAGAUCUAGAGGUCCCUGGUUCGAUCCUGCAUUUCAGCA
rnacentral:tRNA from 1 species